rnacentral:tRNA from 1 species
GUUCUUAUAGUUGAAUAACAACGGUGAUUUUUCAGGUCAUUAAUCAUGGUUUAAGUCCAUGUAGGAACU